UACGGAGGGUGCAAGCGUUUAUCCGGAUUCACUGGGUUUAAAGGGUGCGUAGGUGGGUUGGUAAGUCCGUGGUGAAAUCCCCAAGCUUAACUUGGGAACUGCCGUGGAUACUAUCAAUCUUGAAUAUCGUGGAGGUAAGCGGAAUAUGUCAUGUAGCGGUGAAAUGCUUAGAUAUGACAUAGAACACCGAUAGCGAAGGCAGCUUGCUACACGAUCAUUGACACUGAGGCACGAAAGCGUGGGGAGCGAACAGG
rnacentral:rRNA from 1 species